UUUUCUCUUCUCUUCUUCUUCUUCCUCUUUCCUUUCUCUGUUCCUAUGCUCUGAUCGAUUUAUGAGAUGAGAGUGAAUCCUAUUUGAGGGAAUCGUAUAUUCAAGAUGAUUAGAUGAAGAAGGUGAUGGCGCUGAAAGUUAUUUGAGCCCGGGAGAAGGAGGAGUGGUGUUGUUGUAAUUGAUUUAGGGUUUUCUGGAGAGGAUUGAAUUUGUGAGAGUUUGAUGAUGAAAUCGAGCGUUAGAUGAUGGGUUUUCAUCAUUGAGAACAAAGUAGAAGAAUUAUGUAUUGUUUUCAGUUGUUUCAAAGAUGAACUGAAGAGUUAGGGUUUGUAAAUUAAACAUUGGAUUCGUAUGGAAUAGGUAAGUUAAUUAGGUUGUUGAUGGAUGAAGAAUAGAAGGGUUGUGGUUUGAUUGCAGUUUUGAAGCUGUUUUAGAGAAGAUCAAUUGAAGAAUUAGGGUUCUGCAUGUUGUGUUGGAGUUCGAAUUGCAAGAUUUAGAUAAAUCGAAGAUGGGUAUUGAAUGAUUAGGUGGGUUAGAGUUGAAAUACAGAUGGAAUCAAGACUUAAGUGAAGAAAGGUUAAUUCAGAGAUAAGUUAGGGUUUAUGUUCUUCCUUAAAACAGGAAUUAGGUUCUGGGUGGAGAUGAUUUGGUGAUUUAACAAUUCAGAGAACGUGAAUUGCUGGGUAAGUCUCUAAUUAUUUCUAAUUCUGGUAUUUUUAAUUGAGCUGAUUAAAGUAUUCAAUUUAUUUGAUUGAGAAUAGAACCAGAAUUUAGAUCAAUGUAGAAUGGAGUUGUAAUUGUGGUUUACUGUUGUGGUUGUGGUGAUUCUGAAGUUGCACAUAUGAAUAAUUGAGGAAGGAGGAGGUGGUGAGGAUAUUGUUGUUGUGGUUUUGUGGAGUGCAGGGAAGAACUCAUAGUGGUUCUGGGAUUGAUUGUGUUGAGCUAAGAUACAGAAUUACAUGAGUUUAAGGUAUUUGUGUGUUUGAGUUGAGAGAAUGAGCAAAAGUGGAGAUGUGUAUUGCUGUUAAUGAUGAGGUUGUUUGUAAUGUUGGAGAUGUUGGGGUUUACUGUUGAACUGAGCUGCAAGUGGAAUGAAAUGGUGAUGUUGUUGGUGUGGUGUGUAUAGUUGGAUUUGAAAGUGGAGAUACACUAUGGUUUGCUGUGGAUGUAAUUGUGAUCUCUAGAUGGUUUGUGGAUUGUACCUGCAGUUCAGAUUGCAAGUGGUGGUGCAGGUUGUGCUGAGGAGGAGUUCCAGGUGUUGUCGGUGUGAUAAGUACAGGGUCAUGGAGUGGUUAAGGGAGCUGAACUGCGAAGUUAUGGGGUAAAUGUGAAUUACAGGGUAUGAGAUUGGUAUCAAUACUGUGAAAGUGUAGUUGAGAAUAGGGAAGAUAUCAUUAUGGCGAAUGAGAUGAGCUGAUGUUGAUGUCUUGGGAGUUUUUAGUUUUGACAUUGUAGCUGAGCUGUAGAGUUUGAUUUGUAGCAGUGAUGUUUGAUAGAAGUAAUAGUGUUGAAUAGAGUUCAACUGAAGUAGUCUACGAAGUGACUGCAACUGAUGAAUUGUGUGUAGGAAGAGUAUGGCUUAGCACUGCAUUUGCAGGAUGAACUAGUGGAUCGUGGAUCUCGAGAUAGGCGUGGCUUGUCAUCAAAAGAGGUGGGAAUUUAUAUUUAACCCUAUUGUGAUUAUUGUCGUUUUCCUUUACAAAAGUUUAUGUUUAACAAAUUCAUGCAUUGUAUGGUUGU